CUGAAUUGGGCGGAGCUGGCCGGCGUCAUCUUGGCAGCGCUUCAUUGCGCGUCACUCCCGGAUAACCAUAAAUGGACAGAGAGGCCGGUCGUGGGUGGAGCUGAGGUGACGUGUUGCUGAAACCACUCCCGCCUAGCUCGACAUGACCGAGUUAGCUCAUGCUAAGGAGCUAAUGCUAUAUGCUACUCUGCGUUAGCAGAGGUAGCUUCUAAACCUCUGGUGCUGUACGGUGGAGGUUGGAACCUGUGUCCGUGUUGUUUGUUACCAGCUCACAGUCAAGAGUCACACUGUGGAUCAAAUGUCCCACCUGGUGCCAGAGAGCUGCAGAGACCUGGGAAGCCUCCUCACUGUGCUGUUAGCGUGGACUGAUGUGGAAAGGCCUUCUCUCCUCCUGUUUACUUUGAGUUUUAAAUAUUGUCCAAGGAAAUUUUUGCAAGGAAAACGUUUUAACUUGCAAAACUAUUUUACUUGCAAAACUUAUUAACUUGCAAAACUUUUGGCCUCGCAAAGAAAACUUUUAUAACUUGCAAUCAAUAAGAACAAAAUAGCAAUUAAAACUUUUGUGACAAACUACAAACUUAAUUUUUGAUUGCAGCGCGAUCUGCUGUCAAAACAUUUUUUUUUGCUUGCAUUAAGAAGAGACAAAAAUACCUUCAUACACUGCGGAGAUCCUAAGAAUUUAUUACCUCCAGACCAAUGCCAUCGAUGAUUGAUCCCAGACAGACAGAGAGAGAAGUUGUUAACAUGGAAUUGGGGCUAAAGACGUACAAAAUGCGGGUAGUGUUUUUUUGGCUAUAAAACAUACAGCGAGAGAGAAACAGAAUUAAUGCCAAAGUGGUCUCAAGUCAUUGCUCUCCGGACAUCAUGUUUUUGACCAUAAAAUGUAGACCCUUCUAUCUGCCCAGGGAAGUUACCACCAUCAUCAUCUCUGCUGUUUACAUCCCCCCAAUGCUAACACCAAGGAGGCUCUGAGUGUGCUCUACCGCUCAAUCAGUGACUUGCAAACUACACAUCCAGAGGGUGUUUUCAUUGUUGUUGGGGACUUUAAUCAGGCCAACAUGAAGACGUGUGAACUUUGCAACCAGAGGCUCAAACACACUAGACAGAGCUUACACAAACAUUAAGGCAGCUUUCAAGGAAUGUUCAGGGAAGCUGCAACUGAAAACCAACACACCAAUGUAGCGGAGUAUGCUAAAUCUGUGUCUGCAUACAUCCAGAAGUGCAUGGAGGAUGUCUCUGGGACCAAGACUGUCACCACAUGGGCAAAUCAGAAACCCUGGAUGACCAAUGAGCUGGCUCACACCCUCACAGACAUAUUUAACACCUCGCUGACCCAUGCUGUCGUCCCAUCCUGUUUCAAGACAGCCAACAUCAUACCGUUCCAAAAAAACCCCACAAUUUCACCACUCAACGAUUACCGCCCUGUCGCACUCACUCUCAUCAUGAUGAAUUGCUUCGAGAGGCUGGUGAAGAACCACAUCAUCUCCAAACUCCCCCUUCUUUUGAUCCGCUCCAGUUUGCUUACCGCUCCAACUGUUCCACAGAGGACAUUGUCUUCUCCACACUCCACCUGAGCCUGCAACACCUGGUGAAGAACAAUACCCACGUGUGAAUGCUAUUUCAGCUCAGCAUUCAACACAAUCUCCCCCAGCACCUGGUGAGCAAACUGGCCCCCCUAGGACUCAAACCCCCCCUUUGUAACUGGCUGCUGGAUUUCAUCACAGACAGACCCCAGUCUGUGUGGCUUGGCAAAAACCCCUCCAACGUCAUCUCCCUCAGCACCGGCUGCCCCUGGGGCUGCAUACUGAGCCCACUGCUCUUCACCGAGUUAAGUUCGUCAUGACUGUCGUACCAGGUUCAGUACGAACCACAUCAUUAAGUAAAAUUAAGUGCAUUAAGUAUGCUGACGACACGACAGUGGUGGGUCUCGUCAGGGACAACAACGAAUUGGCCUGCAGAGAGGAGGUGAAACACCUGGUGGAAAGUUGUGACACAAACAAUCUGAUUCUGAAUGUCAACAAAACAAAAGAGAUUGUCGUCGACUACAGGAAAAAUCACCCAAGUCAAUCCCCCCUCAUCAUCAACGGGGUCAGCAGCAUCAAAUUCCUGGGGGUGCAGAUCACAGACACUUUGACCUGGUCCCUCCACACCUCUGUUCUUGAGAGCACAGCAGCGUCUGCACUUUCUGCAUUUGAUGAGAAGAGCAAACCUCCCCCUUCCCAUCCUCACCACUUUCUACAGAGGGACAAUAGAGAGCAUACUGACCAGCUGUCUCUGUCUGGUUUGGGGCCUGCAAUGCCUCAUUCUGUAAAUGUGUGGAGAGAAUGGUGAGGACAGUGGAGAGAAUCCCUCCCAUACAUACGACACUAGUCACUUUACAUGGACACUGUGAUCUCUAUUGCAAUGAGUAACUGGACUAUCUGCAUCAUACUGUCUGUUUCACUGUUACAAUACAUCCUGCUGCUACAGAUAUUUGCACUAUGAAUAUUGUCUUACAAAUCAUUUUUCUGUUUGCUGAUACAUUCCUGACAAAUGUCACAAUAUUUUUAUCUGGUUUCUGUUUCUUUUAUAUGCUUAUAUUUAUUCUAUUUUAUAUUGCAUAUAAUUAUAUAUAUAUACUGUU